rnacentral:sRNA from 1 species
UAUUAGCGUGCGUGAGGGAUAGUAGUGGAGCUCUUUUUAUAAUUAGCUUUUUAGCUAAUCAUAAAAAAGCGGGAACGAAUAGCCCGACCCCAA